GAAAAAUCAUGAUUGCCAUGUGUUUAUGGAGUGCUUACUACCAAUUGCCUUUAAUGCUUUACCAGAACCAAUAUGGAAUCCUAUAACUGAAUUGAGUCAGUUCUUUUGAGAUUUAUGCUCAACAACUUUACGAGUGGAUGAGUUACAACAAAUGCAAUAAAACAUUCCUGUUAUCUUAUGUAAGCUAGAGAGAAUCUUUCCACCAGGCUUCUUUGACUCAAUGGAGCAUUUACCUAUUCAUUUGCCAUAUGAAGCAAUUGUGGGUGGACCGUUCAAUAUAGAUGGAUGUACCCCUUUGAGAGGUUUCUCGGUAAAUUAAAAAAGAUGGUGAAGCAAAAGGCUCGUGUGGAAGGUUCCAUUUGUGAGGCAUACUUAUGCCAAGAGACUGCUCAUUUCUGCUCGUAUUAUUUUGAAGCUGAUGUACAUACUAUGAGAACUAGAGUUGGAAGAAAUGAUGAUGGGAUCAAGAUGACUCAAUCCAACCAACUCUAUCUAUUUUCAAUCAACCUAGACGUCCAUUUGGACAAUGCAUAUCUCAUUUUUUAAACGAGAAAGAAUUGGCUGCAACCACAUUACAUGUCCUUUUAAAUUGUGACGAGGUUGAACCAUAUCUUGAGUAAGUAGCUCGUACUACUAACAACCUUUAAUAUGUAAUCACUCAAAUAGAUUUUGUAUUAAUGAUAUAAUGACUAUCUUGCAGUAUAUUUGUUCAAUAUUUACAAACAGUCACACCACAUAUUAGUGAUAAUGAGGUGGACGCUCGGAUUGAAGCUGAAUUUACAAUAUGGUUCAAGCAUUAUGUCCACAAUCCAGAAAAUGCCAUUGUAAAUCGAUAUUUGCAUGACUUAGCAUGGGGCCCUUUGGUAGGAGUGAAUACAUGGCCCAUUUUUUUUGUCAAUGGGUACAAGUUCCACAUGGAUGCAUGGAGUGAAGGGAAGAAAAUGAAUAAUAGUGGGGUGUGUGUCAAAGGCACCGAUCAUGGUGAAGGAGAAAAUGAUUAUUAUGGUAUCCUUAAAGAGGUGGCGGAAUUAGAAUAUCGUGGAGAACCUAUUAAAAGGGUGGUGUUGUUUUAUUGUGAUUGGUUUCAUUCGACGAUAAAUUGAGGUAUGAUAGUCCAUAAACAGUAUGGUAUUAUCGAGAUUUGACAUAAUAAGAGGUAUGGAAAAUUUGAUCCAUUCAUCCUUCCACAACACGUUAUUCAAGUGUACUAUGCAACUUAUCUAGGAAAGGUAAAAGAGAAAAUAAAUUGGUGGGUUGUCUUCAAGACCAGAUCGAGGAGUAUAGUAGAUGAUAAAAACACUUUGGAGGUUGCUUAUCAAGAUGAGGAAAUGUCACAGCAGAAUGUAAUAAUUGAUCAUGAUCAACUUUGAAGCUUACGGGAUGUUGAGGGCAACUAUGAAGAGGUUGAUGGAUAUAAUGAAAUGAAUGAUGAUGAUGAAGCUGAUGAAGAAAUUGAAAACGAUGAUGAAUCAGAUUUUAAUAGUGAUAGUGAUUCUGAAUAAGUGAUCUUAUC